rnacentral:rRNA from 1 species
UACAGAGGUCUCAAGCGUUGUUCGGAAUUACUGGGCGUAAAGCGCGCGUAGGCGGAUCGCUAAGUCAGGGGUGAAAUCCCAGGGCUCAACCCUGGAACUGCCUUUGAUACUGACGAUCUGGAGAUCGGGAGAGGUUGGUGGAAUUCCGAGUGUAGAGGUGAAAUUCGUAGAUAUCGUGAGGAAGACCGGUGGCGAAGGCGGAUCUCUGGACAGUUCCUGACGCUGAGGCGCGAAGGCCAGGGGAGCAAACGGG